ACAGCCCCGGCACUUCCGGAGAGCGCGACGGCGGGAGAAACUACUGUCGUGCUAGAGGAGGAGGAAGGGGAGCAGAAUAGAAUGAGACGAACAACAACGCUGCAAGGUUGGCAAGGCUGAGAGAGAGUAACUGGCUCAAAGUCACCCAUGAACUCAUGCAUGUCUAAAAGAGGUUUCUACCAUAGGUUCCUAGGCCAACCACAUAACCUUAACCACUACAGUACACUGACUGUCUUCUAUAUUUUUGGACAUAGAGCUGUUAACACUUUAAUGGCUUCUUUCUCCCCCAGCAAUUCAGUUACUAUUUUAUCUGUUCUUGGAUAUUUCCUAUUAAACAGCCUGUCAUACCUCA